rnacentral:lncRNA from 1 species
UAGAACUUUACUAUACCCUUUUGAGCAUUAUAAUCUGUUUGUGUUAAUUUAUAUUUUACUACUUAAUUGCAGAAAGGAUUUGUUUACCGUGAGAACAACAGCUCACCAGGAUACUAUGAUGGAAGGUACUGGACAAUGUGGAAGCUUCCCCUGUUCGGUACCACCGACGCUUCUCAAGUGUUGAAGGAGCUUGACGAAGUUGUUAAGGCUUACCCUAGCGCAUUCGUCCGCAUCAUUGGAUUCGACAACAUUCGUCAAGUUCAAUGUAUCAGUUUCAUUGCACACACUCCUGAAACCUACUAAAUUUGAGUAUUAUGGCAUUGGAAGAGCCUUUUUUGCUCCCAUUUUUUCUGCAUGAAAUUUUCUGUAUUUUUCGGCUUUUGCUUUCGGCCAUCUAAAUGCAAAUGGAUGGAUAAGAGUUAAUAAAUGAUAUGGUCCUUUUUUUAAUCUCAAAUUAGUAUUAUCUGUUGUUUUCAUCGUCUUGGAUUGAAUUUGAAAUUUUAACUAACAAAGAAACCAACACAACUUUAUGAAGCUCAACAUGAAGCCAAAAGUAAGAUUGGACUAGAUGAAGCUCUCUUACCACAAAAAUAAACAAAUUUUCUUGAACUAUCAGAAUCCUUGUCAGAUUCUGAUCAUUGAGGCUUUUUUGAUAGCAACAUCUAUGGAAAGAAAUUCUAUUUCCACAUAACUUUUUUUCCAUCUUUAUCAACAUUAUUCACAAUCAUGAAAAGUAUAAAUGAUUGAGCAGAAAUUAUGAAAAUGAAUAUCAGAAUAAAUGAUUUAUUGUGAAGAAGACUGCAUAAGGAUAUGGAAGCAUAUAAGACGAUUCGUUUAGCUACUUGAAAAAUAUCAUUGACUGCUACAAAAAUCAAUCGAUGAUCUCAAAGUAAUCUUAAGACACUAAAUAUCUGGCCUUCGCUUUCAAUAUCUGCAACUUGGAAUGGCUUACAUACUUUCUGCAUGAUUUCCAUUUAUCUUUUAUUUUUAUACCGCAACAGCCAAUCAGAUCACUAUAUUACAGUCAAUUCCAUAUUUUUAAGAACAGACAAAACACAUCGAAAUUGACUGUCAAGUUGUUAGGAAGAAAGCUUCAAUCAAAGUUAUUUCAUCUAAAGUACUGAUUGUGAAUAAUGAUGUUAAAGAUGUAAAUAUGUUAUGUAGAAAAAAUGACAAAAUAGAAUUUCUCUUUCAAUAAAUGUUGCUAUCAAAAAGGUCUGGUACUUUAGUGAAACCUUAAAGGCCUCAAAAUAAGUUGUCAGUUAUCAUAACUUGACAAACUCAACUGCUAAUUAUUAGCCAAUCAUCAGAGUCUGACAAGGAUUCUUGUGGUUCAAGAAAUAUUCUCUAUUUUUUGUGGUAAGAGAAAUACUUCUGCAAAUAUAUUUGUUGCCUAGUGAGUAAUCAUAAUGAUCAUCGAAAUUGCACGCAUUGGUCAAAAUAGUCCAAAUUUCAUGAAUUGUCAAAUACAUUCCUGAAAGUUCAACGAGUAACCCGAAAUACUCUCUUUAUUAACUUCUGUCAUAAUUUAGUAAUUACUUUGAUUGAUUUUCACAAAUUCGAAACUCAAUUUGUUCAAUGAAUAAAAGUACCAUUUCAUUUAUUAACUCUUACACAUUCAUUUGCAUUUUGAAAUCCGAAAAACACAGUAUGAUACUGUAUUAUCUUGAACGAAGAAAAGCAAAUUAUUACAAGCAGAAACAAUGGGAGAAAAAAAUGUUCUUCCAAUGGUGGAGGAUAUAUACUCAAACUUAGUAGGUUUCAGGAGUGUGUGCAAUGAAACUGAUGCAUUGAACUUGACGAAUGUUGUCGAAUCCAAUGAUGCGGACGAAUGCACUAGGGUAAGCCUUAACAACCUCAUCAUGCUCCUUCAACACUUGAGAAGCGUCUGUGGUACCAAACAAGGGAAGCUUCCACAUUGUCCAGUACCUUCCAUCAUAGUAUCCUGGUGAGCUGUGGUUCUCACGGUAAACAAAUUCUACUCAAACUUUCUAUUUAUAAUGUUUUGAUUUUGCUAUUUCCAAUAUUAUAUGAUCUUCAAAAUUGUGGUAAUUGGUUGCAGCCAUAUUAACCACACAAUAUUGGAAACUUGUGUGUGCGAUUGGAAACUUGUGUGUGCGCUAGCCUUAUCAUUAGCCACCAAUAGGAUAGUGCCAUGUGUAUGAUGCCCCACCAAUAGGACAUCAACCGCGGUUGCACUGCGGUUUUUGCAACAUAAAAAACUGUUAUGUCGCGGCUCAGAUCGCUAUCGCAAAACUUUAUUUUACCGUUUUUGAGUAUUAUAAUCUGUUUGUGUUAAUUUAUAUUUUACUACUUAAUUGCAGAAAGGAUUUGUUUACCGUGAGAACAACAGCUCACCAGGAUACUAUGAUGGAAGGUACUGGACAAUGUGGAAGCUUCCCUUGUUCGGUACCACAGACGCUUCUCAAGUGUUGAAGGAGCAUGAUGAAGUAGUUAAGGCUUACCCUAGUGCAUUCGUUCGCAUCAUUGGAUUCGACAACAUUCGUCAAGUUCAAUGUAUCAGUUUCAUUGCACACACUCCUGAAACCUACUAAGGUCGUUGAAUUUGAAUUCGGAAGAACCUUUUUCUUCUUCCCAUUUAUGUUCUGUUUUGAAUUUCCUGUGUUUUUGUUUAAUUUCUCUUUUCGGAUUUGGAAAUGUAAAUGGGAUAUAUAAGAGUUAAUGAAUGAAAUGAUUACUUUAUUCCCAAGUUACUUAAAAAUAAUCCAUUAUACUACUAUUAUCUAUGUGGUGUUUCUGGUGUUCCACAUGGUGUCGAACACGGACACGACACA